rnacentral:rRNA from 1 species
GAGAGGGUGAUCGGCCACACUGGGACUGAGACACGGCCCAGACUCCUACGGGAGGCAGCAGUAGGGAAUCUUCGGCAAUGGGGGCAACCCUGACCGAGCAACGCCGCGUGAGUGAAGAAGGUUUUCGGAUCGUAAAGCUCUGUUGUAAGUCAAGAACGAGUGUGAGAGUGGAAAGUUCACACUGUGACGGUAGCUUACCAGAAAGGGACGGCUAACUACGUGCCAGCAGCCGCGGUAAUACGUAGGUCCCGAGCGUUGUCCGGAUUUAUUGGGCGUAAAGCGAGCGCAGGCGGUUUGAUAAGUCUGAAGUUAAAGGCUGUGGCUCAGUCCCAGUGUGGCCGAUCACCCUCUC